AUUGAACGCUGGCGGCAUGCCUUACACAUGCAAGUCGAACGGUAACGCGGGGCAACCUGGCGACGAGUGGCGAACGGGGGAGUAAUGCAUCGGAACGCGCCCAGUAGUGGGGGACAGCCCGGCGAAAGCCGGAUUAAUACCGCAUACGACCUGAGGGUGAAAGGGGGGGAGCGCAAGACCUCUCGCUAUUGGAGCGGCCGAUGUCAGAUUAGGUAGUUGGUGGGGUAAAGGCCUACCAAGCCUACGAUCUGUAGCUGGUCUGAGAGGACGACCAGCCACACUGGGACUGAGAGACGGCCCAGACUCCUACGGGAGGCAGCAGUGGGGAAUUUUGGACAAUGGGCGCAAGCCUGAUCCAGCCAUGCCGCGUGCGGGAAGAAGGCCUUCGGGUUGUAAACCGCUUUUGUCAGGGAAGAAACGCUCUGGGUUAAUACCCUGGGGUAAUGACGGUACCUGAAGAAUAAGCACCGGCUAACUACGUGCCAGCAGCCGCCGUAAGAC
rnacentral:rRNA from 1 species